rnacentral:rRNA from 1 species
CAGUAGCCGCGGGAAUACGAAGGGGGCUAGCGUUGCUCGGAAUGACUGGGCGUAAAGGGCGCGUAGGCGGAUUGUUUAGUUAGGCGUGAAAUUCCUGGGCUUAACCUGGGAACUGCAUCUUAUACUGCGUAGCUGGAGUGCAGUAGAGGGUAGUGGAAUUUCCGGUGUAGCGGUGAAAUGCGUAGAUAUCGGAAGGAACACCAGUGGCGAAGGCGGCUACCUGGACUGACACUGACACUGAGGCGCGAAAGCGUGGGGAGCAAACAGGAUUAGAUUACCCCCGUAGUCCCUGUCUCUUAUU